ACGGGUGCAGCAGGCGCGAAAACUUUGCAAUGUGCGCAAGCACGACAAGGUUAAUCCGAGUGAUUCCUGCUAAAGGAAUCUUUUGCUAGUCCUAAAAACACUAGCGAAUAAGGGGUGGGCAAGUUCUGGUGUCAGCCGCCGCGGUAAAACCAGCACCUCAAGUGGUCAGGAGGAUUAUUGGGCCUAAAGCAUCCGUAGCCUGCUCUGUAAAUUUCCGGUUAAAUCCAUUAGCUUAACUGAUGGGCCGCCGGAAAAACUGCAAAGCUAGGGAGUGGGAGAGGUAGACGGUACUCAGUAGGAAGGGGUAAAAUCCUUUGAUCUAUUGAAGACCACCAGUGGCGAAGGCGGUCUACCAGAACACGUUCGACGGUGAGGGAUGAAAGCUGGGGGAGCAAACCGGAUUAGAUACCCGGGUAGUCCCAGCUGUAAACGAUGCAGACUCGGUGAUGCCCUGGCUUGUGGCCAGUGCAGUGCCGCAGGGAAGCCGUUAAGUUUGCCGCCUGGGAAGUACGUACGCAAGUA
rnacentral:rRNA from 1 species